AGUGAACGCUGGCGGUAGGCCUAACACAUGCAAGUCGAACGGCAGCACAGUAAGAGCUUGCUCUUACGGGUGGCGAGUGGCGGACGGGUGAGGAAUACAUCGGAAUCUACUUUUUCGUGGGGGAUAACGUAGGGAAACGUACGCUAAUACCGCAUACGACCUACGGGUGAGAGCAGGCGAUCUUCGGACCUUGCGCGAUUGAAUGAGCCGAUGUCGGAUUAGCUAGUUGGCGGGGUAAAGGCCCACCAAGGCGACGAUCCGUAGCUGGUAUGACAGGAUGAACAGCUACAUGGGAACUGAGACACGGCCCAGACACCUACGGUAGGAAGCAGUGGGGACUACUGCGCGAUGGGCGCGAGCCUAAUCCAGCAAUACCGCGUGAGUGAUGAAGGCGUUCUGGUUGGAAAGCCCUGUUGUUGGGAAAGAAAAGCAGCAGUUUUACACCCCGCUGUUCUGACGGUACCUAAAGAAUAAGCACCGGCUAACUUCGUG
rnacentral:rRNA from 1 species